GCAAGUGGACAGGGUGGUGUUCACAGAGUCAAUACAACACAAGAUCUGGCAUCAGAUGUCCUGCAUAUAAGACCAGCCUUACCGUGCAUUAAAGGAGUUUCAUUCUUCGACAGACUCUCCCCUCAUGGCUGACAGAAGGCUGCAGCCUCCCAAGACUUCACACUGCCAGGACUUCAAGUCUGGUGGGGAGAAGGAGACCACUCAUCCUCAGCAUAUGAACAAAAGCCCCAGAGAAGAAUCAAACCCGGGACCCUUCAGUCCACAGGCCGAUGCUCUAUCCACUGAGCCAAAACAG